CAAGCAACUGGCAGACACCUCCAGGAAACCAACUGCAGAACAAAUGACCAACAACUGGACGUGGGUCUUGCUCUGAGGUCACUUUUAAGGGGCUGGUUCAUCCACCACCUUGCAUUAUUAUAAACCCUCAUUCUCUUCUCUUUGCA